ensembl:lncRNA
CUAGAAACCUAGCUGGACACCUACACCAGGGCAACCAAGCGAAAAGCAAAGGAGAAAAGGAAAAAUAUAAGCAUCUGAAUGCAGAGUUCCAAAGAAUAGCAAGAAGAGAUAAGAAAGCCUUCCUCAGUGAUCAAUGCAAAGAAAUAGAGGAAAACAACAGAAUGGAAAAAACUAGAGAUCUCUUCAAGAAAAUUAGAGAUACCAAAGGAACAUUUCCUGCAAAGAUGGGCUCAAUAAAGGACAGAAAUGGUAUGGACCUAACAGAAGCAGAAGAUAUUAAGAAGAGGUGGCAAGAAUACACAGAAGAACUGUACAAAAAGAUCUUCA